rnacentral:lncRNA from 1 species
UAUUGAUGAAGCAACAUCCAAGGGCGCAGUGGAGGAAGAUUACAGAAAAAAGCGAUAAUAAUGAAGUCUCAAUUGAUAGGUCAAUAAGACCAUUCCUAAAUCAAAACCUUGCAAAAAAAUGGAUUGGUUAUGGGAGAGAGAGGCCUUUGACUGCUCAACCCUCCAUGAAGUUUUAACUUCUUAUUUAUGCAACUAGUUUUUUCCCAUCACUAUUUCCACUUUUCAUAUUGCAGUUAAUGAAAAGUUUUCCACAAUUAGACAAACUCAUUGUUUGGUUGGAGGUGAAAAUUAUUUAUGUUUUUUGUUGGCAUUUCUUCUUGACUUCCCGGAAAGUCAAAGGUUUUUCUUCUUUUAGUGGAGGGAAAAUAACUUACCUACCCCAAUCUAGUUAAGUUAGGUCCUGGAAGUGACUUCUUAGGAGGUGACACAUUUGAACCAACCAAGACACAUUUGAACCAAACAAGGCCUAAAAGAAAAAGUAACCUAUAACAUUAAAAAUAGCCAUGUAAAUACAUAUCAGUUGAUCAACUAACUACCAUCAACUUUCAGUGACUACCAUAAUUUAUCCUUUUCUUUUUGUCUUUGUCCCAUACUUUAAUAUUACACAAAAAAUAAUGAGGUUCUAAGAGGUUUAAAUAAUCUUAUAGUUGGGCACAUUCCAAAAGUUGAAAAAAUCCAAC